rnacentral:rRNA from 1 species
AUUGAACGCUGGCGGCAGGCCUAACACAUGCAAGUCGAGCGGAGCGGCGGACGGGUGAGUAAUGCCUAGGACACUGACUGGUAGUGGGGGAUAACGUCCGGAAAGGGGCGCUAAUACCGCAUACUUACAGAUGAGCUUAGGUAGGAUUAGCUAGCUGGUGGGGUAAAGGCCUACCAAGGCGACGAUCCGUCACUGGUCUGAGAGGAUGAACAGUCCCACUGGAACUUAGACACGGUCCAGACUCCUACGGGAGGCAGCAGUGUGGAAGAUUUGACAAUGGGUGAAAGCCUGAUCCAGCCAUGCCGCGUGAGUGAAGAAGGUCUUCGGAUUGUAAAACACUUUAAGUUGAGAGGCGUUACCAACAGAAUAAGCACCGGCUAACGACGUGCCAGCAGCCGCGGUAAUUC